CUCAAAAUCAGUUGACAUAUUCAGUGGAUUUUCAUGAUGUUGACGAUGACUAUUACUACCAUCACCAUCAUGAAAAUCCACUGAAUAUGUCAACUGAUUUGAC
rnacentral:miRNA from 1 species